CAGCAGCUGUGUGUGGAGAGAAGACACCUGUGGUGUGCGAUCCGAUCCGUCUGAUUGGACAUGGAGGGUUUUCCUCGUGAGGCGGAUCGUUCCCAGACAGGAAGUGCUGAGGGAGAAAGAUAAGAGAGCGGGAGGAAGGGGAAGAAGAUCUUCAUCAUCACAGCAGCUGGACCAAGUGGACCUUCCAGACCUGAGGGUCUCCUGCCUGAGGAACGUCCCUGAGGGAACACCUGACACCUGAAACCAAUUACAUGUAAUGUAUAUAUAAAGUAUUCAUUACAUUCUGUCUGUGGUCUAUGAAUGACAGAGGACCUUCUCCUCUCCUAAGAGUCCUCCAGAGGUCCUUCAUCACAUAACUGAUUCAUCUUGUGACAAAACAGCAUUAAAUGGCGCACAAUAAACAGCGUGAAAGUAUUUAGGGCUGUCAAAACAAACGUGUUUAUUGUGAUUGAUGCCAGCUUUGUUUACUUCCGGUGUGCGUUGACCCCUGACCCUUGAAGCCACUGUGUGCUGCAGUCAGUCAGAUGGAGACAGCGGGACGGUAGUCAAAGACGGAGACGCUUUUUAUCCAAUCCAAAAAGCGUCUCCAUCAUGAAACAAACAGAAGACCUGAGCAGAGGAAUUCCUCCACGUGUCAAACAGAAGGGGGACGAGUGCAGACGGACCACUUUAUGAUUGGCUAGCUGCUAGGCUAAGCUAGCUGCUAGGCUACUUCCAUCUCAACAUCUAGCUGUAGAGGACCACUGCUGUGUCCCUAAAAGAAAGAAAAAGUGGUGUGAAAACGUCCUGCUAAACGUGGGACAUUGUCAAAUUACAUCACAGGUCAUGUAGCAGACGCUUUUAUCCAAAGCGACUUACAUCACACUUUAAACCCACAGCUUUUUCACAUUUUGCCCGGGGAGCAAUUAGGGGUCAGAUGUCUUGCUCAGGGACACUUCAACAUGGAACAUGGGGCAGCCUGGAAUCGAACCACCAACCUUGUGCUUCCCAGCACACCUUCUCUAACCCCGGCGCCACGACGACCCCCAAAUGAGAGUAGAGAGCAAAGUGCACGAGGACGACAGGAAGAGUCCAACAUGUUCACACUGAAAUAACCUUAAACAACAGUGUCGAUUACACACAUUCUUACGUGCUAAUAGACUUUCUCUGCAGAGUUUUAGAUGUAGAUGUUUCUCCGUCUGACCAUCUGUGUGUGUGUUUGUUUUGUAAUGUUUGUACCGUAUUAAAUCACAAUAACAAUAAGACACACUGAACUGUUGACUGGCCGCUUGUUGGUUCCAUUUACACACCAGCCGGGGUUUUCUUUGUCUUCAUCUUGUUCAUCUUAGUUUACCACCUAAAUGCUUCCAUAUACGGAGCAGUCAGACAGGUUGUGUGGAGACAAAAGCGACGCACAAGGCUGCGAUUGGUCCGCUAACUACGUCCUUAAAUUAGAUAAAUAAAGCCACCAGCGACUUCCACACACAAAGACGUGACUCUCCAGGUCGUCUUCAACAGAACACGUGACUCCACCUGUUGUUCUGGAG
ensembl:lncRNA